AGUGGAACUUCGGGGAACGGGUUGUUCCGGUCAAAACGGGUUGUUCUGGGUUGUUCUGGAACAACUAGUUAAAAAUUGUUCCUAAGGGAACUAAGAACAACUUUGUUCUUCUUUUUAUUUUAUUAGAUAAAUAGAUAAAUAAAUAAAUAUAUUAAUAUAAAUAGUAUUUUUAUGAUAAUAUAUUUAUACUUAAAUCUUAUUAUAUAAUACAAGUUAAUUAAAUUUAAUAUAUUAUUUAUUUUAUUGAGUUUUAUUAAUUAUAUAUUAAUAUUUAUUUAUUUUUUAUAUUAAAUAUUAUAUAUAUAAAACUAUUUUUUCAUAUUAUAUAAUAAGAUUNAUAUAUAUAUAUAUAUAUAUUUAAGUUGCAUUGAAAUUUAUACUAUUAUUAGUUAAAAUUAUUAGGAUAUUGUUAGUAUUAUACUUUAUUCAUUACAUACAUUAUGAAUAAUUUAUAUAUAAUAAAUUAUUACAUAAAAUAAAUUAUUAUAUAUAAUAAAAUAAAUAUGCUAUUUUAAUUAAACAGUUACAUAAAAUAUUAUAUUAUAAAUUACAAUAUGAAAUAAUUUUAUAAAUAAUUUUAUAUAAAAUACACUAAUAUAAAUUAAUUAUUUUAUUUUAAAAAAUAUAUUUUGACAUUGUUUUAGACUUUUUAUCCAAACGCUACUAAGGAUAUCCUCUAGAAUAUCCCCGAAUGCAUCCAAACAAAAAUUUACAAUUGUUCUAUCUUGUACCGAAAUAUCCCCUGUUCUCGGGAACAACAAAAGUCGUUCUCCAAAAUUUAGUUCUCCAACCAAACACAGCUUGAGGGGUUCUGGAGGUUUGGGCCGGUUAUGUGUACUAGUGACCCAAAAAUUCGGGAAUAGAUAUUGAAAGAAGCCCAUCAGUUCCCUAUACCAUCCACCCUGGCGGCACAAAGAUGUACAAGAAUUUGAAGGCACAUUUCUAGUUUCUGAGUAUAAAAGGUGAUGCUGGGGGCUUGUGGCUCAAUGCCUAGUGGUGAUAACAUGUCAAGGCAGAGUAUCAAUUUUGGUGGGCAAAUUACAAAGUCUACUUAUAUCCGUUU
rnacentral:lncRNA from 1 species